UACGGAGGGAGCUAGCGUUGUUCGGAAUUACUGGGCGUAAAGCGCACGUAGGCGGCUUUGUAAGUUAGAGGUGAAAGCCCGGGGCUCAACUCCGGAACUGCCUUUAAGACUGCAUCGCUAGAAUUGUGGAGAGGUAAGUGGAAUUCCGAGUGUAGAGGUGAAAUUCGUAGAUAUUCGGAAGAACACCAGUGGCGAAGGCGGCUCACUGGACUGGUAUUGACGCUGAGGUGCGAAAGCGUGGGGAGCAAACAGG
rnacentral:rRNA from 1 species